rnacentral:tRNA from 1 species
GGGGCUGUAGCUCAGUGGCAGAGCGCUUGCCUAGCAUGUAUGAGACACUGGGUUUGAUCCUCAGCACCA